AGAGUUUGAUCAUGGCUCAGGACGAACGCUGGCGGCGUGCUUAACACAUGCAAGUGGAGCGACGACCAGGGCUUGCCCUGGGGCAGAGCCGCGAACGGGUGAGUAACACGUGGGUUACCUGCUCGAUGACUGGGACAACCCGGGGAAACUCGGGCUAAUACCGGAUGUGCCCGCAAGGGGAAAGGAAGCUUCGCCUCCGCAUCGAGAUGGGCCCGCGGCCCAUUAGCUUGUUGGUGUGGUAACGGCUCACCAAGGCUUCGAUGGGUAGCUGGUCUGAGAGGACGAUCAGCCACACUGGGACUGAGACACGGCCCAGACUCCUACGGGAGGCAGCAGUGGGGAAUCUUGCGCAAUGCGCGAAAGCGUGACGCAGCAACGCCGCGUGGGGGAAGAAGGCUUUCGGGUUGUAAACCCCUUUCAGUUGGGACGAAGCUCCGCCGGUGAAUAGCCGGCUGGAGUGACGGUACCUUCACAAGAAGCACCGGCUAACUACGUGCCAGCAGCCGCGGUAAUACGUAGGGUGCAAGCGUUGUCCGGAAUUAUUGGGCGUAAAGAGCGUGUAGGCGGCCCGAUUAGUCCGCUGUGAAAGUCCAGGGCUCAACCCUGGAAUGCCGGUGGAUACUGUCGGGCUAGAGUCCGGAAGGGGCGAGUGGAAUUCCUGGUGUAGCGGUGAAAUGCGCAGAUAUCAGGAGGAACACCAAUGGCGAAGGCAGCUCGCUGGGACGUGACUGACGCUGAGACGCGAAAGCGUGGGGAGCAAACAGGAUUAGAUACCCUAGUAGUCC
rnacentral:rRNA from 1 species